UAUUCGAUCAUUCUUGCGAUUAUUGACAUUUUCUUCUCGAUUUUUAAUCUUCUCGAUCCUUGAGCGGACGAGUAUUUCUUUUUUUUUUUUGUUUAUCCUCUUUUCACGAAAGAAAAUUUCUCGUGAAACAUUUAUGAAUUAAACAUUAUUAUUACAAUUAUCAUAAUUAUACACGUAUUAAGAGAAACGAAGAAAUUAUCUUUAGAUCGAUUUUCGAGGAGAUUAGAUACGGAUCCUCGUUUUGUAUAACAAAUAUGACAAAUAUGAGGCGGUGGAUUAAUAAAAAUAGGAAUAAAACGCGUGAAAAAUAGGCGUUUCCUUUCAUCAAAUUAAUCAGACUCGCGUUCAGUGAAUCACACUCAUUCAUCUUUACGAUACUGCUGUCGGAAUCGAGUCGUCGUAAAUCAUUUUUUAAUGAUAUUAAAAAUGCAACGAGACAUAGGAGUGCACGCAAAAGUUAAAUUCCUCUUGCUCCUCUUGCUAAUCGAUUUAUCGCGCGUUCUGUCAUAUUUGAAAUUCAAAGUUGGCGCGCGCGGCUUGCGGCGCGCGGGAAAAAACGCGGCCAGAAUUUGAAUAACAGAUACACUGAAUUAUUCCUUACCGGGACAAAAGAGAGAGAAAGAAAGAGAGAGGGAAAGACAGAAAGAGAAGAAAUCACGUAAUAACUCCGAGUCGGUCCGCCAUGCAUCGAACGAAGCAUUUCUUCUCGGGAGAAAGGAAAUAAGAGUAAGAAGGAGUAAGAAAAAUUUUUUCUCCCCGGUUAAGACGGUUCAACGAGAGCUGGCCGCUCCAGAGACAGAAAGAGAGAAGUGAAAAGGGAAAGAAAAAGUAUCGAUGGCGGAGAAGAGUUUACGGAUCGGCUGAAAUGUCAGAGGGCCAAGGGAACUCCAUUUUAGCGAGCAACUAGACAACAGGCGAGACGGCGCCAACGAGAUUUUCGCGAAAAUUCACCGCGCCCCAAAGCAAAUACUGCAAUAUUUCACUUCAUACGCGUGAAGAUUUAUUACAGGGGCGCAACGAUUAUAUUUAUUAAAUUAUUUUUAAUCUCCAGUUCCUUCAUACCAAUUGCAAGAUACAUGGAUUUUAAUAAAAAGGGUAAUGCCCACCAACGAGUUCUUAUUAUCCCUAUUCGUCCUUACGAGUAUCGAUCCAAUAAAUUCGAAUGAUUUAUCGGGCAAAAAAUAUUUCCACGUUCAAAAUUUGCGAUACGAAGUAUAAAAAUCUCUCUCGAAAAAAAAAGAAGAAAAGAAGAAGCAAGGGAGAAGGGUAGAAGGACGAGGAGAAGGGUAGAGGAAAGUUGAAGAGAGCGAAGGGAGAUUGGGUGCUGGCGGCGUUAUGGCGGGCGCCGGGGGUGGCGCCGCGACGCUUUGGCGCCUUCCAACGCCGAGACGCUCCGCUGAUGUUGGCUCCAUGUACCAACACAUCUGAAAUCCCCUGGCGUCGAUCCCUCUCCCCCCCACAUCUCCACCACCUACUCGAAUCUAGCGUGGCCGCAAUCACACCUCGAGAUUCCAUCUCUCACGUGUGUGCACGUGCAUUUUCUCCACCUUGCCUUCCCCUCCGCCUAUCUUUUCGUAAGAGUAAGCCCUGUCGAGCUUCGAAAGUGAAACAGUACGGAUAAAGCGGAAUAAAUUCUCGACUUUGCGCCCCGAAAGGCCAGCCCGCCCCGUCAAGGUCCCUGUGGAUGGACAGUGGGGUGUGGCUGCCCAGUUUGCCUCAACUUUUUUGCAUAAUCAACCCCCGUGCAUAUUUCGAGAUUCUUCGAGCCGAUUCGAAAAUAAUCGAUACGAAUUCACCGAAUUAACCUAAACAACAAAAAUCUUGACCGAACCAUCCUCGCCUGCUCGUGCAACAAUUUACUCGAAUCUAUAAAUUUUAAACGAGAUCGUAUUCGACGUUGAUAGAACGAUUUCCACGCGCGUACGUUGCGAAAAAAGAAGAGAAAGAGGGGGGAGAAGGAUGCACGGCCGAUGGAACGACCGUGGCGAACGAUACCGCGAUAAACGCCCUCGUGGGCCGUAAAAAAAGAAAAGGAGAGCUCGAGAGAAAGAGAGAGAGAGAGAGACAACUAAUAAAGCGUAAUCUUACACUCGUUUCACGCGAAUAAUCUCGCAGAAUCUAACCAGCUUGUAAAUGCUACGAAUCGGCACGCGUCUCGUUCCAUCGAUCCCUCUCCCCCUCCCCCUGGAAUGUCUUGCGCGUUUCCGCGAAAUUUUGCGAUUAAUGGGUUGGUUGGCUUUACCAAAACGGCGAUCAAUAGACGAUCUCUCGAUAGACUGCAAUUUCAUUGUUGAUUCUGGUCUCUCUGGUCUCUGUAUGGCUUGGUUAAAAUCAGCCUAGAAUUCGAAUCGACUAGCUUUUCGCAGAAUUUAAGGACCGUUGAGGGAGAGUUACCGGAUCAAAUUGGUGGAAAAGGGCGGUUGUUUCGUGGUUACGUGGAACGGUGAGCUGAUAGGGCAAGUUUCGGGAAUAAUUUUGGCGGAGAGAGAGAGAGCGGAAGCGGAGAGCAGCAGCUUGUCCUAAAAAGCUCGCCGUCCACGGGUGAAAGAGACGUCACUUCCUGGCCAGGAUCGAAACGUCAGCUGAAACCGUUCCACCCCACGAUCCACGGAGCGCGCGCAUGGACCUCCAUUGAAUCGAUGACACGUAGUGGAAGGUACUUGGGGAUGAAUGUACGGAUAAUCCAUUAGACGCCGUUGUAACCUAAAACCGGGCAAACAAGGGUGAUCUCUGGAUUAAACGCGGCGGACGGAUGGACCGUGGAUGAACGAAACAUAGAAGAAAAAUUUGUAAUAAAGUUGUAGGUGAGCAGGUGAGCAACAAUGGGAACUGAUAAACGUCAGAAACGGAGGAUUUCGAUAACCGACAAGACAAUUUGCAAAAUUUUCUUUCGUAUUAUGGAAGUUUACGUGAAGUAUUUUCUGAAUAAUUAUUAUUGAAAUGUGAUAAUCCGAAAUAAAAUGCUAUUUUUCCUCUUUAACGUGA